rnacentral:rRNA from 1 species
GAAUCAAAGAAGGUAAUAAUCCUGUAGUCGAAAAUGUUGUCUCUCUUGAGUGGAUCCUGAGUACGACGGAGCACGUGAAAUUCCGUCGGAAUCUGGGAGGACCAUCUCCUAAGGCUAAAUACUCUCUAGUGACCGAUAGUGAACCAGUACCGUGAGGGAAAGGUGAAAAGCACCCCGGAAGGGGAGUGAAAUAGAACCUGAAACCGUGUGCUUACAAGUAGUCAGAGCCCGUUAAUGGGUGAUGGCGUGCCUUUUGUAGAAUGAACCGGCGAGUUACGAUUUGAUGCAAGGUUAAGCAGUAAAUGUGGAGCCGUAGCGAAAGCGAGUCUGAAUAGGGCGUUUAGUAUUUGGUCGUAGACCCGAAACCAGGUGAUCUACCCUUGGUCAGGUUGAAGUUCAGGUAACACUGAAUGGAGGACCGAACCGACUUACGUUGAAAAGUGAGCGGAUGAACUGAGGGUAGCGGAGAAAUUCCAAUCGAACCUGGAGAUAGCUGGUUCUCUCCGAAAUAGCUUUAGGGCUAGCCUCAAGUGAUGAUUAUUGGAGGUAGAGCACUGUUUGGACGAGGGGCCCCUCUCGGGUUACCGAAUUCAGACAAACUCCGAAUGCCAAUUAAUUUAACUUGGGAGUCAGAACAUGGGUGAUAAGGUCCGUGUUCGAAAGGGAAACAGCCCAGACCACCAGCUAAGGUCCCAAAAUAUAUGUUAAGUGGAAAAGGAUGUGGCGUUGCCCAGACAACUAGGAUGUUGGCUUAGAAGCAGCCAUCAUUUAAAGAGUGCGUAAUAGCUCACUAGUCGAGUGACACUGCGCCGAAAAUGUACCGGGGCUAAACAUAUUACCGAAGCUGUGGAUUGUCCUUUGGACAAUGGUAGGAGAGCGUUCUAAGGGCGUUGAAGCAUGAUCGUAAGGACAUGUGGAGCGCUUAGAAGUGAGAAUGCCGGUGUGAGUAGCGAAAGACGGGUGAGAAUCCCGUCCACCGAUUGACUAAGGUUUCCAGAGGAAGGCUCGUCCGCUCUGGGUUAGUCGGGUCCUAAGCUGAGGCCGACAGGCGUAGGCGAUGGAUAACAGGUUGAUAUUCCUGUACCACCUAUAAUCGUUUUAAUCGAUGGGGGGACGCAGUAGGAUAGGCGAAGCGUGCGAUUGGAUUGCACGUCUAAGCAGUAAGGCUGAGUAUUAGGCAAAUCCGGUACUCGUUAAGGCUGAGCUGUGAUGGGGAGAAGACAUUGUGUCUUCGAGUCGUUGAUUUCACACUGCCGAGAAAAGCCUCUAGAUAGAAAAUAGGUGCCCGUACCGCAAACCGACACAGGUAGUCAAGAUGAGAAUUCUAAGGUGAGCGAGCGAACUCUCGUUAAGGAACUCGGCAAAAUGACCCCGUAACUUCGGGAGAAGGGGUGCUCUUUAGGGUUAACGCCCAGAAGAGCCGCAGUGAAUAGGCCCAAGCGACUGUUUAUCAAAAACACAGGUCUCUGCUAAACCGUAAGGUGAUGUAUAGGGGCUGACGCCUGCCCGGUGCUGGAAGGUUAAGAGGAGUGGUUAGCUUCUGCGAAGCUACGAAUCGAAGCCCCAGUAAACGGCGGCCGUAACUAUAACGGUCCUAAGGUAGCGAAAUUCCUUGUCGGGUAAGUUCCGACCCGCACGAAAGGCGUAACGAUUUGGGCACUGUCUCAACGAGAGACUCGGUGAAAUCAUAGUACCUGUGAAGAUGCAGGUUACCCGCGACAGGACGGAAAGACCCCGUGGAGCUUUACUGUAGCCUGAUAUUGAAAUUCGGCACAGCUUGUACAGGAUAGGUAGGAGCCUUUGAAACGUGAGCGCUAGCUUACGUGGAGGCGCUGGUGGGAUACUACCCUAGCUGUGUUGGCUUUCUAACCCGCACCACUUAUCGUGGUGGGAGACAGUGUCAGGCGGGCAGUUUGACUGGGGCGGUCGCCUCCUAAAAGGUAACGGAGGCGCUCAAAGGUUCCCUCAGAAUGGUUGGAAAUCAUUCAUAGAGUGUAAAGGCAUAAGGGAGCUUGACUGCGAGACCUACAAGUCGAGCAGGGUCGAAAGACGGACUUAGUGAUCCGGUGGUUCCGCAUGGAAGGGCCAUCGCUCAACGGAUAAAAGCUACCCCGGGGAUAACAGGCUUAUCUCCCCCAAGAGUUCACAUCGACGGGGAGGUUUGGCACCUCGAUGUCGGCUCAUCGCAUCCUGGGGCUGUAGUCGGUCCCAAGGGUUGGGCUGUUCGCCCAUUAAAGCGGUACGCGAGCUGGGUUCAGAACGUCGUGAGACAGUUCGGUCCCUAUCCGUCGUGGGCGUAGGAAAUUUGAGAGGAGCUGUCCUUAGUACGAGAGGACCGGGAUGGACAUACCUCUGGUGUACCAGUUGUCGUGCCAACGGCAUAGCUGGGUAGCUAUGUGUGGACGGGAUAAGUGCUGAAAGCAUCUAAGCAUGAAGCCCCCCUCAAGAUGAGAUUUCCCAACUUCGGUUAUAAGAUCCCUCAAAGAUGAUGAGGUUAAUAGGUUCGAGGUGGAAGCAUGGUGACAUGUGGAGCUGACGAAUACUAAUCGAUCGAAGACUUAAUCAA